AUGGCUGAUGCUGUUAGGGAUGUAGUAGGUGUGGGGACGGGUGACAGGGAGAUUCCCUUCCCCCAUGAGCCGAGCUGCGUCGAUCGUGAUAUCUUCAGGGACGUGUGUGCCGGUUUGGGACUAGAUGAGACGCUGGAUAAGAUUAGCUUGCAAAUGCUGCGGUCCGUGCUUGCUUCCCCACGUGAUCUAAGUGUCGAUUUUGAGUCCAACUGGCAAUGUGCUGCAUUUGCUCUCCUUUGCACUGCUUGCUUGUUCAAUCCUAGAGUGAAUCGGAAGGACGACCCGAUCAGCCCGGAAGUGUUCAUUGUUGUGCGUGAUCCAUCGAAGAUGUUUGAGUUUGAUUGGUGUGGAUACAUAAAAGUUGUUAUCAUGGCUGGUGUGACUAAGAUGCACGCUGAUCUCAAUGCUGGGGCGACGACGGUUCAGUUGCAAGGGUUCCUAAUGGUUCCUCAGGUAAUCACAUUUGAUGCAAUGGUGGCUCGGCGGGGGUUGCAACCAGGGCAUCCCCGCAUAACAUUGUACAAGGCUGAGGACUUCCAGCUGCUCGCUGGUUUGGACGCUGAUCGUCGAAGUAUUGGUUGA
rnacentral:rRNA from 1 species